rnacentral:sRNA from 1 species
UGAAAACGUUUUACAAUAUACUUGUUCUUAAUUUCCUUGAAAUGAAAAAGAAUGGCCAAGCAAUUGGAAGGAGAUUAUUCUUUUUCAUGUCAACGAAAAAUAUUUUAUAGGAGGAAGAACAAGA